AGGACGAACGCUGGCGGCGUGCUUAACACAUGCAAGUCGAACGGUGAAGCCCUUCGGGGUGGAUCAGUGGCGAACGGGUGAGUAACACGUGGGCAAUCUGCCCUGCAUUCUGGGACAAGCCUUGGAAACGAGGUCUAAUACCGGAUACGACGCAUCUCCGCAUGGGGUGUGCGUGGAAAGCUCCGGCGAUGCAGGAUGAGCCCGCGGCCUAUCAGCUUGUUGGUGGGGUAAUGGCCUACCAAGGCGACGACGGGUAGCCGGCCUGAGAGGGCGACCGGCCACACUGGGACUGAGACACGGCCCAGACUCCUACGGGAGGCAGCAGUGGGGGAAUAUUGCACAAUGGGCGAAAGCCUGAUGCAGCGACGCCGCGUGAGGGAUGACGGCCUCGGUUGUAAACCUCUUUCAGCAGGGAGAAGCGCAAGUGACGGUACCUGCAGAAGAAGCACCGGCUAACUACGCGCCAGCAGCCGCGGUAA
rnacentral:rRNA from 1 species